UACAGAGGGUGCGAGCGUUGUUCGGAAUUAUUGGGCGUAAAGCGCUUGUAGGCGGCCUGUCAAGUCGCGUGUGAAAUCCCCUGGCUUAACCAGGGAAGUGCGCGCGAAGCUGAAGGGCUUGAGUGCCGGAGAGGGUCGCGGAAUUCCCGGUGUAGAGGUGAAAUUCGUAGAUAUCGGGAGGAACACCAGUGGCGAAGGCGGCGACCUGGACGGACACUGACGCUGAGACGCGAAAGCGUGGGGAGCAAACAGG
rnacentral:rRNA from 1 species